rnacentral:lncRNA from 1 species
UUUUGAGUAUAAUUUGUCUGUAGUCUGUGUAAGUAGGUUUUCCCUCUUUUCCAGAUUCUUUGUGGGCAAAUAGGAGAAGGAUUUAUUCCUUUAACACAAGCAGCAUAAAAAGCAUUUGGUGGAACCCUGACAACUGAUAUCCCCGACAGUCCCAAUAUGGCCUUACUCAAACCAGAGGUUUUGGAUUCUGCUCUGAAAUUCCACAGGUGUGGAACUUGCCCUUGUCCUGUCAGUCAGAGCUUUACAAAAGCAUGGUGCUUGCACCUUACAUUUCAGCGAGACAAGCUCAGAAUGGAUCUGCUGACCAAACAUUUAUGCCCAAGUGCAGAGAAGUCAACCCUAAAAACGCAGUGUCGUGACUAUGAUACAGAACCACUAAACAUGC